rnacentral:sRNA from 1 species
GCAACCUCCACCUCCCGGGCUCAAGCAAUUCUCAUGCCCCAGCCUCCUGAGUAACUGGGAUUACAGGCGCCCACCACCACGCCUGGCUAAUUUUUUUUGUUUUGUAUUGUUUUUUUUUUUUUUUAGUAGAGAUGAGAUUUCACCAUGUUGGCCAGGCUGGUCUUCAACUUCUGACCUUAGCUGAUCCACCUGCCUCAGCCUCCCAAAGUGCUGGGAUUAUACGCCUGAGCCACCGCACCCAGCCUCAAAUCAUAAACUUUUUUUUUUUUUUUUGAGACGAAGUCUCGCUCUGUUGCCCAGGCUGGAGUGAAGUGACACAAUCUUGGCUCACUGCAAGCUCCGCCUCCCAGGUUCAAGCGAUUCUCCUGCCUCAGCCUCCCCAGUAGCCGGGAUUACAGGUGUGCGCCACUGCGCCUGGCUAAUUUUUUGUAUUUCCAGUAGAGAUGGGGUUUCACCAUGUUGGCCAGGCUGGUCUUGAAUUCCUGACCUCAGGUCAUCCACCCACCUCGGCCUCCCAAAGUGCUGGGAUUACAGACAUGAGCCACUGUGCUCAGCCUCAAAUCAUAAACUUUUUAAAGGUUUAUCCCUGACCCUCUAAAUUAGGUUAUGUGCCUUGUUAUAUGCUCUUUUAGCACUUAUCCUAAUUGUGAUUGUGUAUUUAUUAUAUGAUUGUUUAUUCAACAGUUUCUUUCAACAAAUAUUUACCAAGUGUUUAGUAAAUCUUGUUUUGGAUUGUAAGCUUCAUUAAGGCAGAGUAAGGACUGGGUCUGUGGUUUCUCUUGGCCAUGUGCACCUAGCACCUAGCACAGUGCUUAGACAUAGGGAGUACUUAAUAAAUAGUCAUUGAAUGGAUACAUUAAAAUGGCGUUAAUAAUGCUGCCUAUCUGAUGAGGCUGUUGUGAGCCUUCAAUGAAAUCGUGUGUAGGAAGUGCUAGUUUGCUCACAGGCUGGUGGUAACAGUCUACUGUGGUCAUUGAGAGCAGUUAUUGUGGACACAACCCCCAGUUCUGGUCACCCCACCCACUAGCUCUGUGAACUCACAUAGGUACUUAAUAUCUCUGAUUUUUAUUUUAUUUAUCUGUAAAAUGGAACUAAUAAUUACAACCACCUUAUAGGACAGAGUCUUGCUCUGUCACCCAGGCUGGAGUGCAGUGGUGUGAUCUCAUCUCACUGCAACCUCUGCCUCCCAGGCUGAGGCAGGAGAAUGGCAUGAAACCGGGAGGCAGAGCUUGCAGUGAGCCCAGAUCGUGCUACUGUACUCCAGCCUGGGUGACAGAGCAAGACUACAUCUCAAAAAAAAAAAAAAAAAAAAAGUAUUAUUGAGAAUAUAAUAUAAUUAACCUGAAUAGGUUAAUAACCUGAAUAGGUUAAUUAUAUUGUGGAACCUAAACUGUAUAAAUUUAAAAUGCCUUAGAAUGCCCAGUCAGCAAGUGACAGUAUUAGAAAUCAACCUGGAUUUUAGACCGCUGUGUGUUCAUGGAUAAUGUUUGUGUGUUUAGGAGACUAUUCUGAAUAGUGGUUCACAGUCCUUUACAUGCAUCCCCUGUGCAUUGGAUGCUUCACUAGCCUUUUCUGACUAAAGCAUAUGAAAAUACAAGUGAAAAAGGCAAGUUAUUACAGGAAUAACUUUUCAUUUUCUCUAAUUUUCAUAUUUUAAAAAUUCAUUUGUAAGCAUUUGAUACUUUAAACCUGUUUACAGGAACUUGGUAUAAACCACCAUG